AUACGGAGGAUGCGAGCGUUAUCCGGAUUUAUUGGGUUUAAAGGGAGCGUAGGUGGGAUAUUAAGUCAGCUGUGAAAGUUUGGGGCUCAACCUUAAAAUUGCAGUUGAUACUGGUUUCCUUGAGUACGGUACAGGUGGGCGGAAUUCGUGGUGUAGCGGUGAAAUGCUUAGAUAUCACGAAGAACUCCGAUCGCGAAGGCAGCGCACCGGGCCGGAACUGACACUGAUGCUCGAAAGUGCGGGUAUCAAACAGGAUUAGAUACCCUGGUAGUCCGCACAGUAAACGAUGAAUACUCGCUGUUUGCGAUACACUGUAAGCGGCCAAGCGAAAGCGUUAAGUAUUCCACCUGGGGAGUACGCCGGCAACGGUGAAACUCAAAGGAAUUGACGGGGG
rnacentral:rRNA from 1 species